rnacentral:tRNA from 1 species
GCCUGACUGGCUCAGUUGGUGGAGCAUCUGAUUCUUGAUCUCGGGGUUGUGAGUUUGAACCCCAUGUUGGGUG